UUACCUCCUUUUGGCUAGAGAAUCAAGGUGAAGAAGAAAGGCGCUCAGUAUAGCCCCAAAAUCUGCGGCUACGUUGUAGUUUAAUCUGUAGGCAUGGAGCCAUGGGGAGAGAUGGAGAGAGAGAUCUGAGUUUACUACUCCUAGGCCUGCUUGAAGCCAUCGUCUCAUAUCAAAUCCCUCAGAUCUCCCACUGCAACUCACACACGGAGACCAAGAAAAGCACAAUCCCAUCCAUCUGAUUUGCAUGCCCAUCCCCGCAUCCCUCCCCUCCCCGGAAUCCCUCUUCACAAGCCACAACCCUAGCUCCACUCUAGUCUCUAUAAAUAGCGCGCCCUGUAAAGGAGCUCAUCCUUAUUACGGUGAGCGAGAGAGGCAACUGUGGAUCGAUCGAUGCACAGCUCGGAGAGCAAGAGAGCAGUAGUCCAGUCAUGUGUGCUUAUCAAAGGGGUGCUUACUGAGAGUUCCUUGGCAUUCUGUCCACCUCCUUGCUGAUCUUGCAGAAAGUCUCUCAAAUCUGUUGUUUUUUUGGAGGUGGGCAUACUGCCAAUGGAGCUGUGUAGGCCUCCCUUUGUAAAGCCCGCAUGACACAAAUCAGGGCUUCCUCCUUAGAUUUGAUCAUCACUUGUGUCAGAAACGCCUUCAUUAAGCUUGCUUUGCUGCCUUUUCUUGCGUGUUCAUUUACUGGGCCUUUUGAUGUCCUCUUGUUUUCUUGCCUUGAGUUAAGGUUCAUCAUGGUCCAUGACAUGCUUUUGGGGAAAGUUUUGGUGCGAGCUAGCUACAUAUGGUAGUCUGAUCUGCUUUGUUGCCAACCUAAUUUAGUCUGCUUCCUUGAGCCCCGCCGGCCAUGGUGUUGGGGGAAGUGAAGAUGGUGUUACCCCUUCCUCAUGCCAUUCUUUCGGAUCCGUCCUUUUUGCCGCUGAUCAUUCUUUAACAGCCAAGUUCUUCGGAAGACUAACCACGUAGUUCUUGCUUUCUUGCUGGUUUCGCAUGCAGGCCUGUUCUUUGAUCUUUGAUGAGGCUCAUCUCUGCAACAUCUGAAUAUGAGGCCAGGCCAGCAAUGAGAAGCUCAUGAUGUCAAGACUGUAUGAUAAAUCUAUUUUAUUGGGCUCAUGCUUGCUUGUUUUAUGAAUUAAUUGUUUUAGUGGAAUGAGGAAAGAAAUAUGUGCGUCAGAGGAUUGAUUUCUCCUACUAGGUGUUCCUUGUGUACUCUUAAACUAAACUGCCACCCCAUUGUGCCUAUAUAUGUAUUUUAUUCCAAAAAAUGCGUUGUAUUUUGUCAAACAGGUGAAAAUUCUAGAUGACUUUGAUUUUGAAUUGCAUGGUGUGUUUUGAUUGGUAACUUUCUUUUGCCUACAUCAGGUUUGUUGUGUCCCAAAUCCUCAUUAAUGCAUGUUCAUAUGAUGUUGAAUCAUCAAUAUUCUAUGUCUGUUAAGGGAAAAUGCCUUAAUGUUUUGGUGCAUCGCCAAUAUUGUUGAAGUUUCUAGUAUAUGAUGAUAAAGGGAGCAUGGCCGAAUGGGAUGUUCGUGUAUUAAUGUGUGUCUCUAAUGUAUACUGGAUAUGGAUCGAGUAAGGCGGCUGCUUAUUUAGCUCAGUUUGUUCCUGAAGGUCAUGGCUCAUGACCGUAUAUUCACAUCAUGAUGGAGGUUAACCCAAGGAAUAAAAAUAUUUUCUUUCA